rnacentral:rRNA from 1 species
AUUGAACGCUGGCGGCAGGCCUAACACAUGCAAGUCGAGCGGAUGAAGGGAGCUUGCUCCUGGAUUCAGCGGCGGACGGGUGAGUAAUGCCUAGGAAUCUGCCUCGUAGUGGGGGAUAACGUCCGGAAACGGGCGCUAAUACCGCAUACGUCCUGAGGGAGAAAGUGGGGGAUCUUCGGACCUCACGCUAUCAGAUGAGCCUAGGUCGGAUUAGCUAGUUGGUGGGGUAAAGGCCUACCAAGGCGACGAUCCGUAACUGGUCUGAGAGGAUGAUCAGUCACACUGGAACUGAGACACGGUCCAGACUCCUACGGGAGGCAGCAGUGGGGAAUAUUGGACAAUGGGCGAAAGCCUGAUCCAGCCAGGCCGCGUGUGUGAAGAAGGUCUUCGGAUUGUAAAGAACUUUAAGUUGGGAGGAAGGGCAGUAAGUUAAUACCUUGCUGUUUUGACGUUACCAACAGAAUAAGCACCGGCUAACUUCGUG